UGUGAUAAUGACGAUAGUGAUAGUAAAAGUAAAAAAAAAUAUAAAUUAUGUAUCACCUGAAUUGUCGUCAGGUAUGAGAAAAGAUGCAGUAAUUGAUGAAAAUAGUAGUAGUAAGUUAAAAAAUACAUACGACGUAGGUAAUAAUAAUUUAAAAAAUGAUUUCGACAAUUAUGAAGAUGAUUAUUUAAAAAAAACGAUAAGCUGUAUAAGUAACUUUUUACAUAAUGAUAGUGAUAAAAAAAUAUUAAAUGAGUAUAAUUUUGAAUACUUGAUAAAACCAUUUGAUUUGGUAUUACCUGUGGAACAAUCGAGUAACAAAAAAGAAUUAAAAGCUCGAUUAGAGAUAAGUGAUAAUUGGGAAGGUAUAACUUUAAGAAAAACACAAAUAACAAGAAUAAUCGAGAUAAUGAAUGAAGCUAAUAAUUCUAGAAAUGAAACAAAUAAAUUAUUAUUAAAGUAUGCAUAUACUGUUAAAUUAGAUAUUGAAUCUUUAAGAACUGAAACAAAGAAUGAAUUUAUGAAUCUAUAUAAUAAAUUAUUAGGGAGAAAAUAUAAUGUAUCUGAAAAUGAGUUAACUAUGUCUGAGUUAAACAGAUUACAAAUUUUAUAUGAUGUUGUAGGUGUUCGUCAUUUAGCAAAAUGGCGAUUACAAUGUAAAAAAAUGUUAGAAAAAUUAGUAGAAGAAAAAAAUUUAAAAAAAAAAAAUCUAUACGAUUCAAUAUAUAAACAACAAUCUUGGUGGUCUUGGGUAACUGGAAAUAAAAAAGAUAUUGAAAAUAAGGUACAAUCUAUUUUACAAAGUGAACAAAAUAUUAUUAAUGAAAAAGAGUUAUAUAUUUUACAAGAAGCAGUAACAAAUGAAGAUGAUUUUGAUGUGGUUAUACCAACUAAAUAUGAUUUACAAUUUAAACUUUCCCAUUUCGCAAUUCAUGUAUAUGAUGAUUGUAAAAAGAAAAAAAAACAUGUUAAAUGGGACAUACAAACAACAGAUAAAUCGAAUAUAUUAGUAAAAGACAAAUAUAAAAGUAUAAUUGAAUUAAAUACAUGCGAUUCAAAUUUUG
rnacentral:lncRNA from 1 species